UACGUAGGCAGCAAGCGUUGUUCGGAGUUACUGGGCGUAAAGGGUGUGUAGGCGGUUCUCUAAGUUUGGUGUGAAAUCUCCCGGCUCAACUGGGAGGGUGCGCCGAAAACUGGGGGGCUAGAGUACUGGAUGGGAGAGUGGAAUUCCUGGUGUAGCGGUGAAAUGCGUAGAUAUCAGGAGGAAUACCGAUGGCGAAGGCAGGUCUCUGGGCUGACACUGACGCUCAUGCACGAAAGCGUGGGGAGCAAACAGG
rnacentral:rRNA from 1 species